rnacentral:rRNA from 1 species
UACGGAGGGUGCGAGCGUUGUCCGGAAUCACUGGGCGUAAAGGGCGCGUAGGCGGCCUGAUAAGUAGGGGGUGAAAUCCUGCGGCUUAACCGCAGGGCUGCCUUCUAAACUGUCAGGCUAGAGCACAGUAGAGGCAGGUGGAAUUCCCGGUGUAGCGGUGGAAUGCGUAGAUAUUCGGAAGAACACCAGUGGCGAAGGCGACUUACUGGACACAUAUUGACGCUGAGGUGCGAAAGCGUGGGGAGCAAACAGG